rnacentral:rRNA from 1 species
GACGAACGCUGGCGGCGUGCUUAACACAUGCAAGUCGAACGGAGAGGCCCUGCUUUUGUGGGGUGCUCGAGUGGCGAACGGGUGAGUAGCACGUGAGUAACCUGCCCUUGACUUUGAGAUAACUUCAGGAAACUGGGGCUAAUACCGGAUAGGAGCUCCUGCUGCAUGGUGGGGGUUGGAAAGUUUCGGCGGUUGGGGAUGGACUCGCGGCUUAUCAGCUUGUUGGUGGGGUAGUGGCUUACCAAGGCUUUGACGGGUAGCCGGCCUGAGAGGGUGACCGGCCACAUUGGGACUGAGAUACGGCCCAGACUCCUACGGGAGGCAGCAGUGGGGAAUAUUGCACAAUGGGCGGAAGCCUGAUGCAGCAACGCCGCGUGCGGGAUGACGGCCUUCGGGUUGUAAACCGCUUUCGCCUGUGACGAAGCGUGAGUGACGGUAAUGGGUAAAGAAGCACCGGCUAACUACGUG